UACGUAGGGGGCUAGCGUUGCUCGGAAUCACUGGGCGUAAAGCGCACGUAGGCGGCUUCUUAAGUCAGGGGUGAAAUCCUGGAGCUCAACUCCAGAACUGCCUUUGAUACUGAGGAGCUCGAGUCCGGGAGAGGUGAGUGGAGCUCCGAGUGUAGAGGUGAAAUUCGUAGAUAUUAGGAAGACCCCCGGUGGCGAUGGCGGCCCACUGGUCCGGUACUGACGCUGAGGUGCGAAAGCGUGGGGAGCAAACAGG
rnacentral:rRNA from 1 species